AGUUAUUAAUAGUAUUAAAUAAUAAUAAUAUUAUAGUAUAAAGUUUAUUUUAAAAUUAUAAAAUAAGGAGACGAACAAAGGCCUCUUUCGAUAGUGACGUGAUCAACGUGGACUUUGUGACUUUUAUGAUAAUAGUCGAUAUUAUUAUGAUAUCUGAACUUUUAUUUCUGUUCAUAUAUUCAUCGCAGUUACCUUAACUUUUUAAAGGGUUUCAUUUGUUAAUUUAAUUUACAAGUAUUAUCAGAAUGUUAAGGAACAUAUUUAAAACGGGAAAUAAAAAAAACGUUUAUAACCAAUUCCUCGGUAGUAUAGUGGUAAGUAUCCCCGCCUGUCACGCGGGAGACCGGGGUUCGAUUCCCCGCCGGGGAGGGAAAAUUUUUGAAUUUUUUUUUUAGUUAUUGUUACGUCCGAACUAGAAUGAAGGCCAAUUCACCUAGUCUGGUGCCUUUACCGAACCGUAAUAUACUAUUGCUUUGCCCUGUUUUGAGUCAAUAGUUGCAAACUUUACUCCGGAUUGGGCUAUGCCUCUCAUUACCGUGGGAAGAAUGAAUAGGAUUGGAUAUGGUAUAAAUUGAUUAUACAUAUAUUUAAAGCAAAUGAAAACGUUCAUCAACUAAAUAAUUGAAAAUCUAGGAAAUUCUAACAUCUACUAUGAUUUAACAAAUUUAAGAGUUCUUUCACCAAGUAUAAUGAUAAUAAUUGCUUACCUCGAUGCCGAUGAUGAUGAAAGAAUAUGUAAAAUAGGAAAAAUGUAUAGCCGAAGUGAAUUAAUAAAAUGAAAACAAUUUAUUAUAGAUGAAGCGAGCAAGCGAACAAAGAACUGAACAAUUACUCUAGUUGAUUAACAAGCGGAAAAAUAAAACGAAUAGUGGUUGGUUGGCCGGUCGGUGGAGAAUGAGAGAGAGAGUCUUGGAGAAUUUAGUGGAUGUUAAUUAACGGGGGUGGAUUUUUGGGGUAAGACUGAGGAUUGUUACUAUUGGUUCAGCUAGAGAAAUUUUUAGGAAAAAGAGUAUGUGGUUAAGGAAAUUAGCUCAUUGGUGCUGGAAAUUUCGACGGGGAACUUUGCAUGGGGGUGAAGGAUUUACUGGGUCAGGGUUGGACAAGGAUGAUUUCUUUGGAAAUGAGUAAGGAGUCUAGUGGAAUUUUCGAGGAAACAUCGUAAAAUCAAGAAUGUUCGUUUCCGGUGCUCAUGUGUCACUUGAGUAAACUUGCUGAGGGUUAAGGCUAUUGCCUAGGUAUAAUUGUUUAUACAUGUAUCCUCUUGAAAGGUUCAUCUCACUUUCCCUAAACUUGGGACCCAUAUGAGAGAUAGCCGCUUUCAAGGGUCGCUAUGUGAUAGAAACCAGACCCUACUGAUUGGCCUUUUGAUAUUUAGUUAUCGACCGCAUAUGUGGCACCUGGUUUCUCACGCGGAUGUAACAUUAUCUUUAAUACGCAUUACAUAAUGCAAAGUUCAUUUUUGAAAUCCAAGGGCUUUAUAGUUACGCACUUAACCGCGUGGUUCCAGUAUAAUUGUUGAUUGACAAAUAUUUUAUAACUAAUUGGCCCACAUAAAUUAUAUUCUACUAUAUUUUAAGUUUUUAACAUAUGAUUUAAUUGAAAACUAUACUCGUGCUUUGUAACGCAAAUUAUACGCACAGCCACAUGUGGCUAUAUUUCACUGUUUCUGAUUUGCGAGAAAAGAACACAUGGCUGUUUUCAUGAGCAUUUGCAUGCGCUUGGAGUGCACACAAUACUUUUAUUCCCUCUUGGAUUAACAAUCAAGAGACUCGGUAGAGUUUUCAGCCAAGUACGUUUAACAGUAUACAGCUAGCCUUUAAAUCACGUUUUGAAUAAGUUUGCAAACCACUGUGUACUGACUAUGGGUAAAUCGUCGAAAUCCGAAGUCUGUCGAGGUUUAAAGUAGACACUCAAAAUUCAGAUGCUUGUUAAGCUAGAUGAAAGGUAAGUAUACGUACGCAACUAUACAUAAGGGGUAUUCAAUCUAAUGGCACAAUUUGAAGUUGGUUCUGCUAUAGACAUUAAAUAGACACUUGUGUUCCUGUUGCUAGCGACAACAUAACAGGCCAGUAAUUACAUUCGCAGAGCCACAUAGAUUUCUACUAUAUCGACACCUGUCGCAAGAAACAGGAACACAAAUUACGUUCAGCAACUGCCAUUUAUGACAAACAAUGGUAGACGAUGAUUCUUGACAUUGAAUUUCUGAUAAAUGACGGCGACGUAGAAAGAUUAGUGAGAGAGAUAGCAGAACCAGAGAAACUGCAGAGUGCGAGCGAGCAUGCGAAUCAAGAAAGUUUGAAGUGUCGUCGAAUAGAAUAAAAUUCAGUGAUGAUUAUUAUAGAGAAUUUUAUUCGUCAUAUAGUGCUGAAUUGAAACGAAGAAACAUCUUAUUCAAUGUUAUCUAGAUCAGACGUGCUGUGCCUUGUGGUGGGACGAAGGAAAACAAAUGUCCGGGUUGUCACUUUUUGUGGUUUGAUAAACAACCCUUACCGAGGGGUGGACGUAUCCAGGCAUUUUGUUACCAAUGAAAAUUACAAUCUUCAAUUAUAAUGAUGUGAUCCACGGUAUCCAAUGUGACAACCUAUGUCCGUACAGACGCCUUGGCAGUGCCUGGAAGCCAUCAUUCACCACGUGCUCUGUUUAACAUCGAUCGGCCAAAAUUAUCGACGACAUAAUUGAUUCCUGAUUGGAUAUUAAUUAAUGGCAUAAAAUGGCAGACAAGACCAAUGGUCCAACUUAUGGAUAGUCCUUGGAUAAUUGGGUUCAACUUUCCUGGCAAAGUAGACAUUUUGCAAGGUAGCAGAGGUAUAAGGUACAUCCAGGCGCAGGGAAGGAUUAGUAUAGAACCGUACGAUGGCAUUAAAGGGGAUUUAGGCUCUUGCCAAGCUUUUUGCUAUUUAGAAAUACGAGCCUCCCCGUUUAACUCCUUGUGAGAGAUCCUUUAGGAAGUUUCAUGGGUAGGUACAUACUUGUCAGAGUCCAGUUAUAUCCCUUUAACACGGGAACAUAGAUUAUGUAUGCCUAUAGUAAGUUUCACAUAACUUUUAGGACUCUUGGUACAGAUACUUGUCUGUAAGGUACGUUAUCGGUAUUGGAUAAACGUUAUAGCGCUUUGAACAUAGUGUGAGGUUAUGAUCUACGUCUACGAUAAUUAUUAGACUAUCUGUAAGAUUAUUUAAUUUAUCAAUAUUUAUCACUAAUGAAUUUAGCGUUAGGCUCGGCCUUGACGAUACUCUGGCGUCGGUUGGGAUUCCUCUAAAUUGUAGGAGUCCGUCCCGGUCGAUGUAGUGGCUCCAGACACCCUGGCACCAGGAUCCCGUCACCGCCUCUUUUCUCUUUCAAGGAAAUUCUAGAACCUCGACCCAAUCGCAUUGUAUGCGAGCGCUUCAUCAAAUAUUUGAGAAUCCUUGAGAAUGUCAAGGACGCAGAGUUCUAUGCUCGGAGAAUAACCGUAUUGUCUGCGAAGCAUCGCGUAAACAAAUUCAAAUUUCCCGCUUCCGAAAGUGUCACUUCCUUACGACAUAAGACAGGAUAUGUAUUGAAAUUUACUGCCAGUAUUGAAACUGGCACUGUGUCCUAUUCAUCUAUACAUAUCUAAGAGAGAUGUAACUAAUUUCACAGUACUGUCAGUAAAUUUCGGAACUGCCUCUUACUUGCUUGCCUGCCGGCCGUUACUUAGUUUUACUGGCAGUCAAGUCUGUUGCGCCUGGAAACUGCUGACGUAGCUUUGUCACUCGUAAGAAGACUGCUCGGACGGUUUAAUUUGAAGGAUAAAAUUACAAGGGAUGUUUUACUCGAGGAAGAAUUCACUUUUGGUAUUCUCUUUACCGAGUUGUCUCUGACGGUGAGAAGAGAAUAAGCAGAAAAGGUAGAAAUUGGACUGACUUGAAUUAAUACCCGAUACUCUUUACUUACCAACGUAGUAGAAGCAUGAGGGACUAGUGCUGUAGAAGUGUAGAAAAAAAAUUUAUUAAAAUUCAUAAAUUUUGUUUAUAUCA